ACGCAAGACAUCACCGCCAUACAAGUUUCGGCUUUACCAAUUGUGUUACAGAAUUACCUGCGUUGGAAUUUAGCACACCAUCUCACAGUACUCUCUCAGAGACAAAAUAUGUAACUUGCCCUUCACACCUCUGGCCCUAACCAACCCGAUUGGUUGCUAGGGACCAGGUUGCCAAAUGCCUUAUCACACCGUCGGGUCAGCCAAUCACAGGCAGUAAUCUUGGGUUUCAGAUCCCCAAUUCCUGCGGCCCCUUCUCCGUCUUCUUCUAGCAGUUGCAGAGAGAGCGUCAAGCUCCUCUUCCUUGCCAAACACAACUGGACUCAUUCCCAUAUCUGUGGGAUGGUGUGCGUGUAUAAAGAACUUAUGAAGACAACACUGAGUGACUUGUUCCUGCCAAAAUAACUCCACAACCCUGAAGACCUCCACCUGGCUGCCACCACAACCCUGAAGACCUCCACCUGGCUGCCACCACAACCCUAAAGACCUCCACCUGGCUGCCACCACAACCCUGAAGACCUGGUUAGAGCGUUGGACUAGUAACCGAAAGGUUGCAAGAUUGAAUCCUGGAGCUGAGAAGGUAAAAAUCUGUUGUUCUACCCCUGAACAGUUAACCUACUUUUGGGAUGUCUGACAAACACGUUCUAGUUCUGCCACCUUUCACCGUAAAUGCGGAAGUGCAACAUCGGUGGAUUGAGACACAGAUCAUUCAACAAGCAAAGAUCUCUAGCUCAAAUAGGCAGAUAUUGAUAGGGGUUUAAUUACUAUGCUAAUUAGAUUUCUGACACAGUGCAGACAUCGACUCUUAUCUUUUCAUAUGCAAGGCUCGUAUUCCUGACCUAUAACAAAGAGUACUAAAACAUUUUAGUGCGUGAUGACAUUGCAACUGUUAACUCCUAUGUUUGCCAUGAGUCUAAUAACUAUGAUCUUGUUAUUCUCCAUUAUUAUUUAUCUUUGUAACCCCUGCUAACUGACAUAACGUAACGUAUGACUGAUUAACACUAUUCAACUGGAAAUCUGUCUCAUGUUCCUUUCAGUCUAUAGUUCAAGUCAGUGUUUAACCAACACAAACAUCUAGUUCCACCAAUAUCUAAUCUGGACAUGACAUGUUGGGUUUGCUCCUGAGUAGCGCAGCCGUCUAAGGCAUUGCAUCUCAGUAUUAGAGGCCUUACUACAGACCCUGGUUCAAUUCCAGACUGUAUCACAACUGACCGUGAUUGGGAGUCCCAUAGGGCGGCGCACAAUUGGCCCAGACUUGUCCGGGUUAGGGUUUGGCCGGGA
rnacentral:lncRNA from 8 species